CUCAUGAAAAUUUUUUUUAGUAUUCACACUUGCUUCAGUCGAAGACUUUCUGAACUUAGUCUUGCUAAUCGCAUAUGAUUUCUCCUUUUCUACCAAGAUCGAUAGAUUCUAUCUAGGUACACCCUACUCUAAUUGUAAAUCUGAACCUACUAUAGCUAACAUACACAACAAGAAUCUGAAUGGCUAGAGACUAAGAAAAUGUGUAGUCAAACUCAGUAGCCUCGUUGCAAAUAGCCAAUGACAUCACAGGUCAAAGGACCAUUCACACCACUGC
rnacentral:lncRNA from 1 species